UAAGCCGAACUACGAUACCGUCAAAUUCAUGAAUUGAUUAUUAUGAAUGGAGCUCACCCCCCCGAAUACCUCCUACGGAGGCUGCAGAGUAGCAGCAGCACCAGUCGUGUAGUUUCCAAUCUGCGUUCUCACUCCCUCUUCUCUCUUCACAUCGGGUACAGUUAGGAAUCUGAAAUUUCUUCGGCUCGUCGUUGUUUUUGUUGAACCUCUCUCUUUUCGUCUCCCUGUGUUCUGCGUCGGAAUGCAUAUCGGAAUUCAACCAGUUUUCAAUCCGACGUGCAGCGUUGUCGUGAUGAUUCGAGCGGAGCCUUAUCGCAGGUUCAUUAUUUUGUGAUAGGUAUCCUCGGUUGAGACAUUUUUGUGCGAGUUCCCGACUUUGUGCAGACCUUCUCUGGUUUCUACGGAUGCUGCUUCUUCGCUUUUUUUCGAUUUCAUCAAUUGAAGUUACUCCGUACCUGAUGAAGAUUAUAAGGCAACCUGCGAACUAAUUCCAUCUUGAAUUGGAAUUCUUCGACCUGGAUCUACCUUCCUGUCUGGCGCAUCGAGUACUGACCGACCAAGACCCUUCGCCUUAUACAUAAUUCGCUGAAGAACAUUCCUGAUGUUGCAGAUCCGCAUUUAGUUUAAUCAUAUGGACAUUGGAACACUGAGGAAGAAUAAACUACAUUUUCAGUUGAAGAAAAAACUCAACAUUGGAUAGAUAUCAGUGACGAUCUCGUGUUUGGCUCUGGUUUUGAAGGAUGAACUAUCGCUUCAGUUCGAAAUGUUAUCAUGUGACCAGGAGUUAUGUUUUUCUCAGAUAAUGUUGAAACGAAACGGGUUUUCACAGUGAUUUGCCAGAUUUGUUUGGUUUCUGAGAUCAUUGUGAAAGCUGAUUUCGUCAACACAUCUACGGUGGGCCUCCGGAAGUUAAAUCUAAUUUUGUACCAUUGAAGAAUUGGAAUUUGAUAUAUCCUACAUUCAGCUGACUAAUGAUUUUUUCAAUUUUUGUUGUGUUCUUUAUAAUGUACUAAAAGUUUUAAUUAUUAUUAUUUGUAUACUGGUAAAAUAAUGUUGAUGCAAAAUAUAUUUACUCAGUUUGUCCUAGGUUCAUUUUUCAUAUGACUAUUGAAUUUUAUGUGAUUCAAUAAUAUUAUUGUUGCAAUUUUCGUUGAUAAUUUUUGAAAAGCAAUGUUUGCUACAGUUAAUGUAUUUCAAAGUACAUUUCAUUUUUCAUUAUUUCCAAUAUAUUUAAAAUAUUAGAUAUUUGGAUUUAUAUAUUCUUUAAAAAUUUGGUGUGUGAAUCGGUAUGGUAUAUUAUAUCGAAAAUUCAAAUUUCCAAUCAUCAAUCAUUUUCUUUUCAUUCUAUAAUGUUCGCGAUUAUAGACUAGUAAAUAUUAUAUUUCAUAAUUUCCUGAAAAUAUAAUAUUUAAUUAAAAAAUAAAACAAAACGAUUGCCACAAAUAUAUUGUCAUAUUUGUUGAAACUACUUUAUUUAAAUUUUCAGACAGAAUCCAUUGAAUAUAAUAACAAUUUUUGUGUCUAGUUGAUUUAGUAGAUUAAAGAUAAAGUCAUUGUUACAACCAUUUGUCCCUUGUGGGCCUUAAUUGAUUGUAUGUAGUAAUAUUAUUGCAGGUUUGCUAUUUCAAUGUUAUAUUAAAUUUUUUGAGUGAUUAUAGUGUACCAGAAUGUUUUCCCAAAUCUUUUUUUGUUUUUCAUUCCACCCAUC